CGCACCUUGCGCCCCUUGGCCAUUCCUUGGGGCAUGCCUGUUUGAGUAUCAUGAACACCUCAACUCUCACGGUUUGCCGUGAUGGGCUUGGACUCUGGGGGUUUGCUGGCUCGUGUGGUCGGCUCCCCUCAAAUAAAUCAGCUUGCCAGCGUUCUGGUGGCGUCACGGGUGUGAUAACUAUCUACGCUCGUGUUUGCCUGCCAAGUAACCUUUGGUGACAAAGGUUCGUUGGGGCUUACAAACGUCUCUCCUUAGCGAAGACAGCCUUUGAAUGUUCGAUCUCAAAUCAGGUAGGACUACCCGCUGAACUUAA
rnacentral:misc_RNA from 1 species